GGCUGGUCCAAAGGUAGUGAGUUAUCUCACUUGAUUAUUCACAAUCAGUUACAGAUUGGACUCUUUGUUCUACUACAUUUUCCCCUUCUUACUACUGCACUUGACUAGUCUUAA
rnacentral:Y_RNA from 1 species